ACAUCGGUGACAGGUGGUGCAUGGUUGUCGUCAGCUCGUGUCGUGAGAUGUUGGGUUAAGUCCCGCAACGAGCGCAACCCCUAUUGUUAGUUGCCAUCAUUCAGUUGGGCACUCUAGCGAGACUGCCGGUAAUAAACCGGAGGAAGGUGGGGAUGACGUCAAAUCAUCAUGCCCCUUAUGACCUGGGCUACACACGUGCUACAAUGGUUGGUACAACGAGUUGCGAGUCGGUGACGGCGAGCUAAUCUCUUAAAGCCAAUCUCAGUUCGGAUUGUAGGCUGCAACUCGCCUAUAUGAAGUCGGAAUCGCUAGUAAUCGCGGAUCAGCACGCCGCGGUGAAUACGUUCCCGGGCCUU
rnacentral:rRNA from 1 species